rnacentral:tRNA from 1 species
GCUAGUGUAGCUCAGGGGUAGAGCGCUUCCUUGGUAAGGAAGAGGUCGUGAGUUCAAAUCUCACCACCAGCU